GAGUAGAUCUUUUUGGUCUUAUACACGGUUUUUCAGUGUUUGCGAGCUUUGUGUUGCUGUUUUACAGGGUAAUGGAGCUACUUCUCGACUCGCCACUUGUCUGUGGCUUCGCUGUCUUGCAUGCCGUUUCUCAUUCCGAGCUUUUUGUCCAUCUAUCGUUCAAUAUGUGGUUCACGGAGCAUUCACGAAGCGACCUCUGCAUUCAGCAAGCGACCUCUGCAGGAAAUAUCAAUGUUGUAGACUUAAUUAGAAAUGGGGGAAGAGAAUUCUAGGCCUUUGAUGGAAGACAUUAGUUCACGUUUAAAGAGUUGUCGAGAUAUACUGGCCACUUCGAGAGCCCAAUUUAAUGAACCUUGUGAUGAGAGUCGUAAGGUGGAGAUUGCAUUAACUAUAGCUCAAUCAGAAAAUCAGAAUUUGUCAAAAAGAAACAAGGAGCUAGAGGAGCUCCUCAAGGCUAGAAAUCUAGACAAGUUGUGUACAACAUUCAUUGGAGAGGAAGAAGAAUGUAAGGAAGUAGGGAAGCAGCAAGAGCAUGCACAAGUGUCUUUUCAACUUUCUAGAAAGAGAAAGUAUGAUCUUAGAAAGAGAAAGUAUGAUGUUAAAUGAACACGCAGAAGUGCCUUCACAACUUUUUAAAAAGAGAAAGUAUGAUCUUAAGGUAUACAUGAUUUUUAGAAUCACAACAUAAUGGUUAAAUCACAACAAAAGGCUAACAAUUUCAUAAUUUCAAAGUGGGAGUCUUCACGGAAAACACGUAUAUAUGAGCGAAUUGAUUAAAGUGGUAGUUGGCUUGGUUUGUAUAGUAUGAAUAUAUUGCCCUCAAAACUAUAAUCUAGGUUAUAUAGAUGUAAACCUUCGAAAAACAAUGUAGGUUUUGUAUAUAUGCAUUAUGCCCUUUUCAAAAACAAUGUAGGUUUUGUAUAUAUGCAUU